AACGAACGCUGGCGGCAUGCCUAACACAUGCAAGUCGAACGCCCUCUUUUAGAGGGAGUGGCGCACGGGUGCGUAACGCGUGGGAACCUGCCCUUAGGUUCGGAAUAACUCAGAGAAAUUUGAGCUAAUACCGGAUAAUGUCUUCGGACCAAAGAUUUAUCGCCUUUGGAUGGGCCCGCGUAGGAUUAGAUAGUUGGUGGGGUAAUGGCCUACCAAGUCGACGAUCCUUAGCUGGUCUGAGAGGAUGAUCAGCCACACUGGGACUGAGACACGGCCCAGACUCCUACGGGAGGCAGCAGUGGGGAAUAUUGGACAAUGGGCGAAAGCCUGAUCCAGCAAUGCCGCGUGAGUGAUGAAGGCCUUAGGGUUGUAAAGCUCUUUUACCAGGGAUGAUAAUGACAGUACCUGGAGAAUAAGCUCCGGCUAACUCCGUGCCAGCCGCCGCCGUAACAC
rnacentral:rRNA from 1 species